UUAGACCGUCGUGAGACAGGUUAGUUUUACCCUACUGAUGAAGUUCGCCAGGCAUUGCCGCGACGCUACCAUCUGCCGGAUUAUGGCUGAACGCCUCUAAGUCAGAAUCCGUGCCGGAAAGCGGCGAUACCUGCCCCGCACGUUGUAGUUGGAUACAAAUAGGCCUCGGCCCUGAACCUCAACAGGCCGGCACCGGCGCCUCGGCGCCAGCUGGCGGAUUGCAAUGUCACCACGCGCGGGGAUAAAUCCUCUGCAGACGACCGAAGUGAGCAAGCGGGUCGUGUAAGCGGUCAAGUAGCCUUGUUGUUACGAGUCGCUGAGCGUCAGCCCGAUCCUUGCCU
rnacentral:rRNA from 1 species